AUGACACCUCACCUGAUGUCGCUCCUUCUGGCUCUCCUGUGGCACUGGCUGUGUUGCGUGAAGGCCCUCGGGGUCAGUCAGUCCCCGCCAGACUUGGUCCUAAAGCCCCAAGCUCAGCUGAAAAUCAGCUGCAACAUAUCUGACGUCAGCAGCCCAAACCUGUUCUGGUACCGACAGAGAGCCUCCGGCGAGAUGGAACUGAAGUUCUUUUCUAUUGGGAUAAACAUGGUGGAUCCAAAAGAGGAAACGGACGGGUUCAAGGCCAGUAGGCCCGUGGACCUGCAGCUGUUCUUGGAGUCUAAUAGUGUACCGCCGUCAGAACCCGCAGUAUGGUUCUGCGCUGCCAGUCAAGCACAGUGA